UACCAGCUCUCCGAGUGGUGUGGAUGUUUAUUUGGCCUAAAGCAUCCGUAGCUGGCUGGACAAGUCCCCUGUUAAACCCACCGAUUUAAUCGUUGGUGUGCGGGGGAUACUGUUCGGCUAGGGGACGGGAGAGGCAGACGGUAUUUUUGGGGAGGGUGAAAUCCUAUAAUCCCAGGAAGACCACCAGUGGCGAAGGCUGUCUGCUAGAACGCGCCCGACGGUGAGGGAUGAAAGCUGGGGGAGCGAACCGGAUUAGAUACCCGGGUAGUCCCAGCUGUAAACGAUGCAGGCUAGGUGUUUGGACGGCCACGUGCCGUUCUAGUGCCGCAGGGAAGCCGUUAAGCCUGCCGCCUGGGGAGUACGGCCGCAAGGCUAGAAACUUAAAGGAAUUGGCGGGGAGCACCACAAGGGUGAUGCUUGCGUUU
rnacentral:rRNA from 1 species